rnacentral:rRNA from 1 species
UGAGCAAUCUGCCCUUCACUUCGGGAUAACUCCGGGAAACCGGUGCUAAUACCGAAUACGACCACUUCAGGCAUCUGAUGGUGGUGGAAAGUUCCGGCGGUGAAGGAUGAGCUCGCGGCCUAUCAGCUUGUUGGUGGGGUAAUGGCCCACAAGGCAACGACGGGUAGCCGGCCUGAGAGGGUGACCGGCCACACUGGGACUGAGACACGGCCCAGACUCCGUACGGGA